GUGCAAGUCGAGCGAAUGGAUUAAGAGCUUGCUCUUAUGAAGUUAGCGGCGGACGGGUGAGUAACACGUGGGUAACCUGCCCAUAAGACUGGGAUAACUCCGGGAAACCGGGGCUAAUACCGGAUAACAUUUUGAACUGCAUGGUUCGAAAUUGAAAGGCGGCUUCGGCUGUCACUUAUGGAUGGACGUCGCAUUAGCUAGUUGGUGAGGUAACGGCUCACCAAGGCAACGAUGCGUAGCCGACCUGAGAGGGUGAUCGGCCACACUGGGACUGAGACACGGCCCAGACUCCUACGGGAGGCAGCAGUAGGGAAUCUUCCGCAAUGGACGAAAGUCUGACGGAGCAACGCCGCGUGAGUGAUGAAGGCUUUCGGGUCGUAAAACUCUGUUGUUAGGGAAGAACAAGUGCUAGUUGAAUAAGCUGGCACCUUGACGGUACCUAACCAGAAAGCCACGGCUAACUACGUGCCAGCAGCCGCGGUAAUACGUAGGUGGCAAGCGUUAUCCGGAAUUAUUGGGCGUAAAGCGCGCGCAGUUGUUUUUUUAAGUCUAGAUAGUGACAGCUCAUCGGCUCAGCCGUGUCGGUUCAUUGUUAACAUGGGAGACUUGAAGUGCGGAAGAGGAAAGUUGACUUCCAUGUGUAGCGGUGAAGUGCG
rnacentral:rRNA from 1 species